rnacentral:rRNA from 1 species
UACGGGGGGGGCAAGCGUUGUUCGGAAUUACUGGGCGUAAAGGGCGCGUAGGCGGUUUGUUAAGUUGAAUGUGAAAACUCUGGGCUUAACCCAGAGCCUGCAUUCAAUACUGGCAGGCUGGAGUUCUGGAGGGGAUAGCGGAAUUCCUGGUGUAGCGGUGAAAUGCGUAGAUAUCAGGAGGAACACCGGUGGCGAAGGCGGCUAUCUGGACAGAAACUGACGCUGGAUGACGCGAAAGCUAGGGGAGCAAACAGG